rnacentral:lncRNA from 1 species
ACUCCUGACCUCAGGUAAUCCACCCACCUUGGCCUCCCAAAGUGCUGGGAUUACAGAUGGGACCCACCACGCCCAGCCUGGAGUGAUCUUUUUAACGUAUUGCUUAAAAUAUUGCUAAUCCUUUGUUUUGCUUUUCAAAGUCCAAGAAUCUUUUCUUUUGAGUUAUUGACAGCUUUUAACAAUUUAGUAUGCUUCCAUUAACAAAAUUUGGAGCAUCUUGUUUCUCUCUACCUGAUUUUCUCCAGAAUUUGGAAACUAUCUGUAUGUAUUCUUAAGUUAGGGUAAUAUAGUUAUUUGCAUAAGUGCAACAAGAAUCUGUUUUCUUUUGUAACAGGACACAAUUGGGAAAACUGGUUAUUUUACCAAGGCUUUAACUGGAAUGGUGUGCCUUCCAUUAAGGAAUCAAAUUUGACUUAUGGAGCCAAUAAAGCCCUUGGAAAGCUGGCCUCAGAUUUCGUGUACAGUCCCUGUACAGGGUUUCCGAUCUGUGAGAUUUCUUAAACUGACAGGAUCAUGGCCAUUUCACAGACAACUACCCAAAAAUAUCUACAGACGGCGCUGCUCCUACCAACCCGAUACCAGAGAACUCUCCGUCCCCUCGUCAGCAGGAAGUAGCCAGAAAGAACAUGCCGCCCCUCGUCCUUUUUAUAACUAUGAGGUCUGGAUUGACAGAGCAGAAGCAUCACCAUUGUGGAUAAGUGCCUCAUUUUAAAAUUCACCUUAAUCAAAAACUGCCUAAAUCCAAAGGGCAUCAGCCUAAUGGCUAAGGUCAGCAUGAUCACAAACCACAAAUAACAUCUCCAACCAAAAACAUUCCAGACACCUCCCACAGAGAAAUGCUAGCCUCAGGAUAACCCCUCUCCUGCCGGAAAGAUGUCACCCCCAAGAUAACCGCCCCUCCGCCUAGAACAUUCCAACCCUGCCAUAAACUUCUCCCCCACACAGAAACAUUCCAAGCUUGUAAUAAGCUCCCACACCCUAAAACCAACGUACAUUCUUAGUCUGCAAGGAAAAGUGCUCCUGACUGACCGGCCAGAAUCCUCUCUCAGGUCUUUUCUAUAAUAAACCUGUCUUUGACUGUCAAGCAGUGUUUGGUGUUUCUUUCCUUUUUUAUUUUUUUUUUAAGAUGGAGUCUUGCUCUGUUGCCCAAGCUGGAGUGCAGUGGCGUGAUCUCAGCUCACUGCAAGCUCCACCUCCUGGGUUCAAGUGAUUCUCCUGUCUCAGCCUUCUGAGUAGCUGGGAUUACAGGCACAGGCUGCCAUGCCU